ACGCUCGACACCUACGGGGGGCAGCAGUUAGGAAUAUUCGUCAAUGGGGGAAACCCUGAACGAGCAAUGCCGCGUGAGUGAUGAAGGCCCUAUGGGUUGUAAAACUCUGUUGUUGAGAAAGAAUUGUAAGAUUAGGAAAUGAGUCUUACUUGACGGUACUCUUCAAGAAAGCCACGGCUAACUACGUGUCAGCAGCGCGGUAAUCUGAGCGGGCUGGCAAGGC
rnacentral:rRNA from 1 species